rnacentral:rRNA from 1 species
GAUGAACGCUGGCGGCGUGCCUAAUACAUGCAAGUCGAGCGAACAGAUAAGGAGCUUGCUCCUUUGACGUUAGCGGCGGACGGGUGAGUAACACGUGGGUAACCUACCUAUAAGACUGGGAUAACUUCGGGAAACCGGAGCUCAUACCGGAUAAUAUUUCGAACCGCAUGGUUCGAUAGUGAAAGAUGGUUUUGCUAUCACUUAUAGAUGGACCCGCGCCGUAUUAGCUAGUUGGUAAGGUAACGGCUUACCAAGGCAACGAUACGUAGCCGACCUGAGAGGGUGAUCGGCCACACUGGAACUGAGACACGGUCCAGACUCCUACGGGAGGCAGCAGUAGGGAAUCUUCCGCAAUGGGCGAAAGCCUGACGGAGCAACGCCGCGUGAGUGAUGAAGGUCUUCGGAUCGUAAAACGCUGUUAUUAGGGAAGAACAUACGUGUAAGUAACUGUGCACGUCUUGACGGUACCUAAUCAGAAAGCCACGGCUAACUACGUG